rnacentral:rRNA from 1 species
GAUGAACGCUGGCGGCGUGCCUAAUACAUGCAAGUCGAGCGAACGGACGAGAAGCUUGCUUCUCUGAUGUUAGCGGCGGACGGGUGAGUAACACGUGGAUAACCUACCUAUAAGACUGGGAUAUCUUCGGGAAACCGGAGCUAAUACCGGAUAAUAUUUUGAACCGCAUGGUUCAAAAGUGAAAGACGGUCUUGCUGUCACUUAUAGAUGGAUCCGCGCUGCAUUAGCUAGUUGGUAAGGUAACGGCUUACCAAGGCAACGAUGCAUAGCCGACCUGAGAGGGUGAUCGGCCACACUGGAACUGAGACACGGUCCAGACUCCUACGGGAGGCAGCAGUAGGGAAUCUUCCGCAAUGGGCGAAAGCCUGACGGAGCAACGCCGCGUGAGUGAUGAAGGUCUUCGGAUCGUAAAACUCUGUUAUUAGGGAAGAACAUAUGUGUAAGUAACUGUGCACAUCCUGACGGUACCUAAUCAGAAAGCCACGGCUAACUACGUG